rfam:Brachypodium distachyon strain Bd21 chromosome 1, whole genome shotgun sequence.
UAAGUACUCCCUCCGUCCCAUAUUAAGUGACUUUCUAUUACAUGUAUCUAGACGCUUUUUAGACAUAGAUACAUCCAUAUUUGGGCAAAUUUCAGUCAUUCAAUAUGGGACGGAGGGAGUAGCUU